rnacentral:rRNA from 1 species
GAUGAAGGCUGGCGGCGUGCCUAAUACAUGCCAGUCGAGCGAACGGACGAGAAGCUUGCUUCUCUGAUGUUAGCGGCGGACGGGUGAGUAACACGUGGAUAACCUACCUAUAAGACUGGGAUAACUUCGGGAAACCGGAGCUAAUACCGGAUGAUAUUUUGAACCGCAUGGUUCAAAAGUGAAAGACGGUCUUGCUGUCACUUAUAGAUGGAUCCGCGCUGCAUUAGCUAGUUGGUAAGGUAACGGCUUACCAAGGCAACGAUGCAUAGCCGACCUGAGAGGGUGAUCGGCCACACUGGAACUGAGACACGGUCCAGACUCCUACGGGAGGCAGCAGUAGGGAAUCUUCCGCAAUGGGCGAGAGCCUGACGGAGCAACGCCGCGUGAGUGAUGAAGGUCUUCGGAUCGUAAAACUCUGUUAUUAGGGAAGAACAUAUGUGUAAGUAACUGUGCACAUCUUGACGGUACCUAAUCAGAAAGCCACGGCUAACUACGUG